UCCCUCGCUAACACUGGCUUUAGGUAGAACAAUGUCGAAGGUACGAGCGAAACACAGUAGUUGCUUUGUUGUUGGCUGCACAAACCAACACAGAAGUCUUUUUUUAACCCCUACGCCCGAGGAUCUGAAGACCCAGUGGAUUAAUUUUAUUUUUGAUGGAAAUGUUCCCGUUCCAACUCCGAAAGUGUUGUACGUGUGUGCUAACCAUUUCACCUCGGACUGCUUUCUCAACGAGGGCCAGGACAAUGCAGGAUUUGCUACAAUUCUCAAGAUAAAGCUUGGAUCAGUACCGACUGUCCGUGACCCAACUUUGAACUUCGGAACUGCCAUCUAUACAGCUUCCUGCAACAAGGGGUGUUGCAUGCCAGACUGACCCACUGCAGGCACACAGUUAUCCUUGAAGAGUCUUCAGCCUCACAUCAGAAGUACAGGGAAUGUGGUGGACCUCAUAUUUGAAAAAGUCUUUGUGACCUGGGACCAUACACAGAAGCUGCUUUGGCCAUCCCCAUCCCAGAGGACCUCACUGCACAGUCGAGCGGCCUGAGAAGGAGGAGGUCAUAUCCAGCUAUGUGUCCCGGUUCUAUCAUGGGCCAGUCUAAAGCCCACGUACCGGCCUGUGGCGUCAGGAAACACGGCAUGGAUGUGUAGGACCACGCAGGCUAGAAUGACGACCCAGAUUCUGCAACCAAGGAAGCCCCAGCACCAGCUCACAAAGCUCCUAUAGGCUAGAUACCUGUACUGACUAAAACAACUGGACAGGGCAUUUAGUCUUGCAAACAUAUAUCUAUGUUGUGUCUCACAAUUUUUUAUAUGGAUCCGGUGAAUCCUACAGUUUUUUUUUUUAUUAUCACUGAUUAUAACUGCCUCAUUUGAUGUAAAUAAAUGCUUGAUUGUUACUAAAGAAAUGACUCCUCUGAAUUCAUAUAUUAUAUGCACACUAUCUGCUGAUAGAAGAACUUUACAAAUCAAAGAGCAGCUAAACUAAUUUAUUUGAGUGUGUGUUACUCUAUUUGUGGUGUGUUAUUACCAUUGUAAAAUUAUGUGCACUGAAGUAAAACAAGACUGCCUAACAUCUUUUAUUUAGAUUGAAACUAUGUUUUUACAAAGAAGCAAAACAUACUGGUGUAUUCCUCUCAACUGUAAAGGACCGUAGUCAGUGCGGUACAUGUUGCAGGCAUUCUGGAGGGAGUACACAAUGAGGCAGAGCGGCUCCAACCCAGGACAGCCGACU